GCAAAGAUUUAACGUAAUAGUAUUUACUCGUAUAUCACACCAACAUUGACUAUACAAAAUUUUUCAAGCUAUACCAUUUUAUAGUCAAGAGAUUAGAAGAGAGAUAGCGUAUUAAAAAUGUUACAGGUUUAAUUUGCAGGAACUUAUAUCGCGUUAGCCUUAUGGUUAAAUAAGCAUAUCUAAAUAUAAGGUUGCAUUCUUUUAAAUCAGAAGUGCCAUUAGGGUUGACUCAUAAUAGUUAUUCUUGCAAAAGCUGUAUAACUACAAUUUGAAAUGUUUUCGAUAACUUUAAAAAUUCUUUAGCAUAAGUAACAAUUUUAGUUCUCUAAACAUUGUGUAGAAGUUGUAAUUCACACCUGAUCGUGAUCUUUACUCAUAGUAGGGAAUAUAUUGGCAAACAAUAAAAAAAAAAGAACUGUUUUCUUUUUCAUUUUCUUUAUAUUUUGUACACGUUGAAUAAAAAUGUACUGUAAUUUAAUAGUUUUAUUAUUAUUUUAUAUUAUAAAUAUAAUUGUGAGCGAAUGAUGUCCGAUUUGAAUGUGUAAGUUAUCAACGACAUUGAUUUUGUAAAACAAAACUGUAACUACCCUCCUUGAUAUUGUUUUGGUAUCACAUAUACUUUUCAUCGAGGGUGUAUUUUGAAAUUUAUUUACUAUUUAUAGUAUUAGUUAACUUUAGCCAUUAUAUCAAUUCCAAAAAGCGUUAUGCUGGCUUUGUGAUGACUAUCAUUGUAUUUUAUGAAAUAUAUUUCCUAAAUAUA